UUCCUACGGGAGGCUGCAGUGGGGAAUCUUGCGCAAUGGGCGAAAGCCUGACGCAGCGACGCCGCGUGAGUGAUGAAGGCCUUCGGGUUGUAAAGCUCUGUGGAGGGGGACGAAUAAGGGUUGGCUAACAUCCAGCUCGAUGACGGUACCCCUUUAGCAAGCACCGGCUAACUCUGUGCCAGCAGCCGCGGUAAGACAGAGGGUGCAAACGUUGUUCGGAAUUACUGGGCGUAAAGCGCGUGUAGGCUGCUCGGAAAGUCGGAUGUGAAAGCCCUGAGCUCAACUUAGGAAGUGCAUUCGAAACUUCCGAGCUGGAGUGCUGGAGAGGAAGGCGGAAUUCUCGGUGUAGAGGUGAAAUUCGUAGAUAUCGAGAGGAACACCGGUGGCGAAGGCGGCCUUCUGGACAGCGACUGACGCUGAGACGCGAAAGCGUGGGGAGCAAACAGGAUUAGAUACCCCUGUAGUCG
rnacentral:rRNA from 1 species